AGAGUUUGAUCCUGGCUCAGGAUGAACGCUGGCGGCGUGCUUAACACAUGCAAGUCGAACGAAGCACUUUAUUUGAUUUCCUUCGGGACUGAUUAUUUUGUGACUGAGUGGCGGACGGGUGAGUAACGCGUGGGUAACCUGCCUUGUACAGGAGGAUAACAGUUGGAAACGGCUGCUAAUACCGCAUAAGCGCACAGCAUCGCAUGAUGCAGUGUGAAAAACUCCGGUGGUAUAAGAUGGACCCGCGUUGGAUUAGCUAGUUGGUGAGGUAACGGCCCACCAAGGCGACGAUCCAUAGCCGACCUGAGAGGGUGACCGGCCACAUUGGGACUGAGACACGGCCCAAACUCCUACGGGAGGCAGCAGUGGGGAAUAUUGCACAAAGGGCGAAAGCCUGAUGCAGCGACGCCGCGUGAGCGAAGAAGUAUUUCGGUAUGUAAAGCUCUAUCAGCAGGGAAGAUAAUGACGGUACCUGACUAAGAAGCACCGGCUAAAUACGUGCCAGCAGCCGCGGUAAUACGUAUGGUGCAAGCGUUAUCCGGAUUUACUGGGUGUAAAGGGAGCGCAGGCGGUGCGGCAAGUCUGAUGUGAAAGCCCGGGGCUCAACCCCGGUACUGCAUUGGAAACUGUCGUACUAGAGUGUCGGAGGGGUAAGCGGAAUUCCUAGUGUAGCGGUGAAAUGCGUAGAUAUUAGGAGGAACACCAGUGGCGAAGGCGGCUUACUGGACGAUAACUGACGCUGAGGCUCGAAAGCGUGGGGAGCAAACAGGAUUAGAUACCCUGGUAGUCCACGCCGUAAACGA
rnacentral:rRNA from 1 species